GAUGAAGAACGCAGCGAAAUGCGAUAAGUAAUGUGAAUUGCAGAAUUCAGUGAAUCAUCGAAUCUUUGAACGCACAUUGCGCCCGCCAGUAUUCUGGCGGGCAUGCCUGUUCGAGCGUCAUUUCAACCAUCAAGCCCCAGGCUUGUGUUGGGGACCUGCGGCUGCCGCAGGCCCUGAAAACCAGUGGCGGGCUCGCUGUCACACCGGGCGUAGUAGAUUUUAUCUCGCUCAGGGCGUGCUGCGGGUUCCGGCCGUUAAAAAGCCUUUUUUACCCAAGGUUGACCUCGGAUCAGGUAGGAAGACCCGCUGAACUUAACCAUAUCAAUAAGCGGAGGA
rnacentral:misc_RNA from 1 species